GGAACAAAAAUCCCAGUGCUAUUAAUGUGAUGGGUGGUCUUCCAUAUUUAAUAUUUCAUAACUUUAAGGACAUGCAAGACAGUUAUUUACUCGGGUUGUGCAUAUAUCAAUGUAUUCAUGUGAUUACACUAUUACACUAUAUUAGCCAGUGACAUAAACAAAAUAUUAUUAUAUAUAUUGUAUUCACAUAUGAGUUUUAUUUUCCCCUUCAGAAAAAAAUGUGCCAAUGUAGUAAAUGAAAUAUUCUGUUUCCUUUUCUUGAUAUGUUUAUUAUCAAAUACAUGUAGUUAUAUCCCAGUUUCUUUUGCUUCAAGAGCAAACUAUUUACAAUAUGUAAAGCAUUAUGAAAAAAACUUAUAUCAUUUUUUAUUUUGCAUUAUAUCACAUAUGGAAUAUGAAAAGCAUUACGACUAUUUCAACUAAUUCAGGUAUUUGUGAUAAGCUUCCAUGAUUUUAAUUUAGCGCAUGUUUUGUACAGUUAUGAUAUAGACAUAAAGGAACAGUCUUUGUGUAGAAGUUGGGUUGAAUUCUUAAUAUAAGGCUGCAAUGAAUGCUGUGCUGGCAUAGCAUCUACAAAGUUAACACACAGUCUCUGCUGCAAUUAGGAAAAGCAUAGGAGGCAUAUUGGACUUUCUAUAGUAAUGCUCCAGGGUUAUAGAUUCUUUUGUUAAAUUUGCAUUUUUUAUCUUUUAUGAUAAACCUGGUUAAUUAUUGACUGAAGUGGUUAUUGUCUGUAGUAUACAAGAAGAAAUGAACAAAAUAUACAAAGGUAUUGCAUCUGUAAAUUGUUCAUUUGCUUUCUUCCUCUCAUUUUAUACUUGUUUUUACUUUUGGAUGAAGUUUGCAGGAAAUGCAUGCUAGGCCCAUGCUUCUAGCUUGGACAAAAGUUUACAGAUUAAUUUUUCUCUUCACGAGCUGAAUUGUUGAUAUAGUGCCAUGGUGGAGAAAGAGUUGUCAGUGUUAUUUCUACAAAAAACAACAUUACAACAACAACAACAAUAACAAAUCAACAACAACACACACACACACUCAUACACACAGCCAGGUCAUUUUGUUGUAUGUAUGAAUAAUUUAUUUUUUACAGAUAUAAGAAAACAAGUUUACGAAGCAUUCUUUUAUGGACUCGAUUGUCAUGUAUAUUUUGUUUGUAUAGUUAUAUAUAAUUGUAAGUUAAUUUGACAAAAACAAUUUACGACAUUAAAUAUUUAAGAAAAAAUU
rnacentral:misc_RNA from 1 species